AUGAGAAAGUUCGGAGAAUGCAGAAAUUCACACGAAAAUCACCCAAGAAUUCCUUUCAUCAUUCUCCUCUCCUUCAAUCUUCACAACCAACUCUUCCUCUUUCAAGAAUCAUUCUUGAUAACAACUCAACAAAAACCGCAACAACAAUACUUCAACAACAAUAAUAAAGAUACGAAGAGAAACUAA